GGGGAUAUGGCGGAAUUGGUAGACGCUACGGACUUAAAAUCCGUUGGUUUUUUGGACUGUGAGGGUUCAAGUCCCUCUAUCCCCA
rnacentral:tRNA from 1 species